AGGUCCAUCCCCAUCCUCUACAGAGCCUUGUCUCGCACCCCCAUCCUCUGUGCCCACUGUCCCCUCAGGCUAUGUGUCUGUAACCACAGCUGAUUUACCUGAGCCUUGUCUCGCACCCCCAUCCUCUGUUCCCACUGUCCCCUCUGGGUCUGCAACUACAGCUGAUUUACCUGCAACUUCCACCACAACGUCCGCUUGGCACCAUGGAUCAUCAUCAGCUCUGCCAGUUGAUCCAGCUGAGUGGCCUUCUUUCCUCUCAGAUUUAGACAGGACUGAGUAGGCAAUCAGAGGGCCACUGCCUAUUCAGGAGAACUUUUCAUUCCCCAAAAGGCAUGAUGGCCGAAGUUUCCAUUAUCACUAUACCUAUAGACAGUUAGACAAUGGGGAAAAAGUAAAGCGGAGCUGGCUGACUUAUUCAAGAAGUAAAGACGCAGUCUAUUGCUUUUGCUGUAAAUUAUUUUCAAAAAAGUCCUUAAAACUUGCAACUGAGGGACAGCGGGAUUGGGUCAACAUUGGUGCACUGCUAAAACAGCAUGAGAAUGGUGAAGAUCAUUGCAGCAACAUGGUGAAAUGGAAGGAAUUUGUCUUGCGUCUGUCAAAGGGGAAAACUAUUGAUGAGACAGAAAUGGGCCUCCUUGAGGCAGAAAAGAAUUGCUGGAGAGAUGUUCUCACACGCUUAAUCAGUAUUAUCCAGUCACUAGUAGAAAGGAACCUGGCACUGAGGGGAUCUGUUGACACAUUACAUCAGGCCAACAAUGGGAACUUUCUAAAAGAAGUGGAACUGAUAGCUAAAUUUGAUCCUGUAUUGAGAGAUCACGUGAGACGCAUCGACAGUGGAGGAGAACAUAUCACAUACUUGGGGAAAACGAUUCAAAAUGAGUUGAUAACCUGUGUUAGUGAUAAAAUAGUGGAGACAAUGGUGUCUGAAAUAAAAGAUUCAAAAUACUAUGCCAUAAUACUGCAUUGCACCCCAGAUGUAAGUCAUCAAGAACAGAUGUCUGUUGUUGUGCGCGCUGUAAAUCUUGGAAAAACGCCAGA